CGUUCUGUAAGCCUGUGAAGGUGCGUUGAAAAGCGUGCUGGAGGUAUCAGAAGUGCGAAUGCUGACAUGAGUAGCGUUAAAGGGGUCGAAAGCCCCCUCGCCGUAAGCGCAAGGUUUUCUACGCAACGUUCAUCGGCGUAGAGUGAGUCGGCCCCUAAGGCGAGGCAGAGAUGCGUAGCUGAUGGGAAACAGGUCAAUAUUCCUGUACCGAUGUGCAGUGCGAUGUGGGGACGGAUCUUAAUAGGUCAUCCGGGUGUUGGAUAUCCCGGUUUAUCUGGAUGUAGGCGACGGGCAGGAAAAUCCACCCGUCAUAUACCGAGGCCAGAGAUCGAGCAAGCUUGCUUGUGAAGUGACUGAACGAGGUCCCAGGAAAAGCCACUAAGCUUCAGCUGCACACGACCGUACCGCAAACCGACACUGGUGCGCGAGAUGAGUAUUCUAAGGCGCUUGAGAGAACUCAGGAGAAGGAACUCGGCAAAUUGACACCGUAACUUCGGAAGAAGGUG
rnacentral:rRNA from 1 species